rnacentral:rRNA from 3 species
UAAUUGAAGAGUUUGAUCAUGGCUCAGAUUGAACGCUGGCGGCAGGCCUAACACAUGCAAGUCGAGCGGCAGCGGGAAGAUAGUUU